AUAAAAAUAAAAAGGAUCAGCCAAUGAGGAAAGGAAAUCCCCCCUCCAUUAUGGAUCCGUGCACCACCAUCAACCCGGUUUAAUUCCGGCGAAUUUCGCCAUUUUUUUCGUUGAAUCACCACCAUCCAACACCUCCAAAACACUCAGUGAUUUCCCAUCUUCCAUCUCCACCCAAAUUUGAGGGUAUUUAAGUCCAAAAUCGUGUAAAACCGUGCGGGUGACCCAUGGAGAUUUGACGGCGAUUCCGCCAUUCCGGCUAGUUUCACCACCCACCACCAGAAUCAACUACCCUUGGACCCAGGAACAAGACCCAAUCAGUUGUAGGGGUGUUGGAACAUCGAGGAAGUCGAAUCGAAGAACACCCAUCUAAGGGUUUCCGGCAGGUUUGAGCGAAUUUGGGGUUUUUCCCGACCAAAUCGAAGAACACCCAUCUUUCAGUAGUUUUAAAUUUUGCGUUUGAAUAUAAUUGUCCUACGAGUGAUAGAGUUUUGGACGUCCAUCAUUUGUUGCUUUUAAAUAAUCCGCAGACUUCUGUCUAUUUGACUUUUGCAGUGUGUAAGAUUAUUUUUUAUUUUUUUAUUUUUUUUUGAACAAUUGGAUGUUUGUGGUAUGAAUGAGUAUUGAUUCUUGAAUUGACAAGUACUCUUGGGAGGAAGUGCAGAUCAUGUGUUUUAUCAUUAUCCUAUAGCCUUAUAUGUGUAGCUGAGAUUGUGUAGGGAAGGAAAUUGUAUUGUUCAUGUAUGCAGGAAGAAAUUGUAUUGUUCAUGUAGUCUGGUUUUUAUUGUUGUCCGUUUUAUGGUGGGGGACAACUUAACCGAAGAGAUUGCAUUUUGUUGAGGAGAUUAGGUAGGCAAUUAAAGCAUUCCUUCUUAUGCACCAUAAUGGUGAUGAAAUAAAGAUCCAAAUUUGGUUGAAGAAUUGAGGAGGGGGGGAGUGGGCAUGGGAAGAACUUAUCCUGUGUGUAAAUUUAGGCCACAUUUUUUGAAGAUAAUUUUAUAUUACUGUAUGCUCAGAAUAUUUUAAAAGGCAUUUGACUAAAAAAAUGUAAGAAUUUUGUAUCUAGCUACUAACAUAAGGAAAUGAUGUUUUAAACUUUCAGUUUUUGAAUGCUGAUUCUGCAUAUUUGCUUUAAUCUGUUUACCAUUUGGUAUAAGGAUUUGUACAAGAGCAGAUGCGACAAUCGCCUUACUGAGAUCACAGAAAGGGCCUCUGCUGAUAGAUGUGAGGCUGAGUCCCUGGCUAAGAAAUAUGAAGAGAAAUACAAACAAGCUGGAGAUGUAGCUUCCAAGCUGACUAUUGAAGAAGCCACAUUUCGUGAUUUACAGGAGAAGAAAAUGGAGCUAAACAGGGCAGUUGUCAAGAUGGAUCGAGAAGGUGAUGCUGAUGCGCACUUCAGGAUCGUGUUGAUCACAUCCAAUUAGAUCUUGAUGGGCUUGUGAAAACUCUCAAUGAGCACUGCAAGAAUAUGGACUAGGCGGAAAGCCUACAACAUUAACUGAGCUUCCCUUUAGCUGGCAACCUGGCUUCCAAGAAGGACCUGCUGACUGGGAUGAGGAUUGGGAUAAGUUUGAAGACAAAGGAUUUGCUUUUGUCAAGGAGCUCACUCUUGAUGUGUUAAAUGUCUUGGCACCUCCAAAAAAGAAUCAUCAUCAGUUCAGAAAGAAAAAGCUCUCCCAGUUGAGAAUCCAACAACUGCUGCUUCACCUGAAGUUGAUGUUAAGACAGAAAAGCCUCAAAGUGUGGAUGCCAACCAAAUCAGGACUGGGUCAUCAGACUCAUCACAAGGAGGUGGCUUUUCCCAGAAGAGCUGCCCUUUUACUUUCGACGAUUUUGUUCCUAGGACACCACUCUCAGCCUUCAAUUCAGGAUAUUCACCGCCAAGGUACAAGGAUAGUUCAGAACCUUCAUUUGACACCUUCUCUAGGUUUGAUACGUUCAGAAGCACACAAGAUACUGGAUUUUUUCCCUCAACCAGAAACAUUCGGAAGAUUUUGAGUCUAUGCGCAGCAAUAGAGAGUUUUCCAACAUUUGAUGACAUCCCAGACCCUUUUGGCUCUUCGGUGCCAUUUAGGUCAUCGCUGGACAGUCAAACUCCAAGAAGAGACUUGGACCCCUUUGGAUCUUCAGGGCCAUUUCGGAUGGCACUCGACGGUCAAACUCCAAGAAAGAAUCAGAUUUUUUCGAGUCUUUAGUGCCAUUUUGGACAUCAUUCGACAGUCAUAACUCCUAGAGGAGACUCGGAUGCAUUUGGGUCUACUCCAUUUAGGACAUCAUUCGACGGUCAAACUCCAAGAAGAGACUUGGACCCAUUUGGGUCUUCAGGGCCUUUCCGGAUGAUAAUGGAGACUCCGAGAAAAGACUACUCACUGGAGUGCAUUUUAACCGGGACAUUUGACUUCAUUUGGAGAAAAACGUGAUCAAACGGAUGAAUUUUGGAGUAAUUCCAAUUGGAGGAUGUUCAUGUGCCUUUCAAAAUGAUUGUAUCAAAAUUCUAGAUUUUUCUACCAAGCCGUUUGACCGUGGCGAUGAAAUAAAGGUCCAGCGUGCAGCUUUUCUAGAUUGACAUUUGUAGACGUUUUGGGUAUUUUAGAGGUCAAGAUGGCGUAUUUUGAAAAAGAUUCCUUCUAAAAAUUUGUAGGGAACGUCUUCAGCUUUAUAAAGAGACAUUUUGAGACCAAAUCGGAGUUGAUUUGGUUGGUCAUAUAAGAUUGAUUUUAUGAGAAUUCCGAAUUUUAGUUCAAA